GCUUCAUUUUCAGAAACAGCAUAGAUAUAUGAUUAUUCAGUGCCAUUUGAUGAAGGUGACUACAAAAGGCGUUGAAAACUUACAAUGGUAUUGACUAGAAGCUGAACAGCCUGGUGUUGGUGGGCAAGCUACAAGAAAUACAGAAGUCAUGCGCACGCUUAAUAUAGCAUCCUAGUAGUGAUGCCAGGAAAGGAACUGGAAAAUAAAAUUAGAAGCCAAAACCCCUAAUCCUGAAACUGGAUCAACCCAUACAAUCUCAUGUGUCCAAGGGGAGUUCUACUGAGGUGAUGGCAUCCAUGUUAGCAGGCUCUUUUGUAGAAUAAGGGCCAUAGUUUACAUUUAUAACAACAGUAUUUGACCAACAAACAAAAACCAACUCCUCUCCCCCAACAAGCCCCCCCCCCCCCAACCUUGGAUAUUUAAAAAUAUAUAUCACAUUCAGUCCUUACUAUACAGCUUUAUUAAGCAAAUGAUUAAAAGUUAAAUAUGCAACUUGUCUCACUGAUACCAAUGGGAGCAUUUACACCAGUAAUGUUAAGUACAUGCUUACAUGAUUUGCUGGACUGGCGCUUGCAUGUACAGACUGAUACAAGGAGUUAUGUCCACACCACACUUUCAGAAGUCAGUCUUUUCAUAAAUUCAGCAUAACUGCUAAUGGGAAUAAACUAAAUGAAAUGGAGCCGCACAAUGUCUUGCUGCUCAAAGCAUUCUAUGCCAACAAUUGAAAAAAAACUAUGCUAUCACAGCAUAAUUUUUUUUUUUUUCUUAGAAACCUAGUAAAAGUAGGAGUAUAAAAAAAGCUUGCUGCAACUAUUGGUUUAAAUGAACAGAUAGGCUUACAAUUCUGAUUGCAUUCCUUAGCAGUGGAAAUCUUUUUACUGAACUGUUCUAAAAGAAAAACUACUUCUCUGUAUACACACUCAAGUUAUAUGAACUGUUGUGUUUUAAAACAGGUAUUGUCAAAUUGUUUUUUUAACUGUUUUCUUUUUUUACAAGUCUAAAUUUAUUCUCAUCUCAGGUUCAUAACCUUCCCAGUUUUUAAAUAUUUUAAAUCAGCUAUGUGUUUCUUCAUUAAGUAAAACUGUUUCCUAGUAUGUCAACCCUUUUGGACCACUUUAAAUGAAGUCUCACUGAAUUUGAUGCAGAAGCUGAGACAGACCCUCCUCUGAUGUAGUUAUUGAUAGCAAAACUUUAGAACUUACAAAUGGACAACCGAAAUGGUGACUGCAAGGAUAUCAAAGAUCCAACCCUCAGGCCAUAUCUGUCCUGUGGACCUGCUCAUCCAGUCCCUUUGGUCUGAGUUGACCCACAUGUUUCUGGAGUGGCUCCAAGUGCAGGGCUCAGGAUGUGUACCACAUGCAGUGCCCGCUCCAGCCAGCUCAUGAUCCCUACAUGUGGUGCCUACUCUGGGACUCAUGCUGCACAUGAUGCCCAUCCCAGCCAAUCUGGAAUCUGCUCUGCAGGAGGUACCCACCCCACUGGCCUGGUCCAGGACUGAGUGCUGUGGACACUCACGGGUAUUUCAAUGAACUGCUUUCAAUCUACUGGUUGGGAAAUGAGUUCCUUUUUCCUUCUUGGCAAUACUUGAAUUCUCUGCUCUCUCUGACUCAAUUCCUCCUGCUUCUAAACAUUUUUCAGUUGUUUCUUUAAUUACCUAGUUGCUUCUAUAUAAAAUAUCCCAUCAGACAAAGUAGAACAGCUAGAAGCCACCUUGCAAGGAAAACACAUUUUUGCAUGGAUGAUCACAUGAAUUCUCUGCGAAUCAUAUUUUAUAAAGUCCUGGGAUUUGGUCACCCCACUGACCUCCCAGAGACAGCCCUACCAAAAAAUAUUUUUAACAAGAAGCUCUAUUUCAAGAGUGCCUGUGCUUCCAGACAGCAAGAGUGAACAAAUAAGGAAUAUAAUUUUUUAUUUCCUAUUUAAAAGGAAGGAGAGAGGCAGCAAAUUUAAGUGCAUACUUAUGCUACUAAUAUGUACUGUGAAAAGCAGAAUUGUUUAAUUUAUGAAAUCUGAAAUGGAUAUGUGAAGGCCAGGAGGUGGAGAUGGGAGUUUACUCCCAAAUAGAAAUCGACACUUGGUAAAAAUCCGGUGUUCUAAAAAACACAUUUUGCUCUUCAGAGCCUUAUUGUGAGCCUGACCAGUACGAUUCUGAGAAUGUAUGCUGAACAUACUGUAUAUCAAAGCUAAUGGUAUGAAAUACUCCAUCCUGUGCAGAGCAAUCAUCUAAAAAUUUCCCUUCAGCAUAACAGAGUUUACUAAGGGGUUCACUUAGCACACAGUCAGCCCCAAAACUCUUUUCAGCCCACCCCUUUUCUGUGAAAGUCUAAUUAGUUUUGUGAAUAAUCAUCUGAAAAGCAAAAAUUAGAAACACCUUAUGCGGAAAUUUAAUAAAAUACGCUUUACAGUUUUACUUACCUAAUUCUUUAGAAACAGGAGAUUCAGUUGCUAUAUCUCCAAUCUUUGCAAGGCCAUCAUAAUAUGCUCUUCCAGCAAGUAUCAUAGCUACAGGGAAAAAUAAUGCAAAAUUUGUACUCAUUGAAAACAAAACUGGUUGAAAUAUUCAGUUUCUGCAACACUUGCAUUGGGACAAUUGUUGGAGCUGAGGUAUGCAGAGAAACAGGUCUCAACACUCUACAACAGUCUGGUAAAAGUACUAGCCUGCGAGUGAUUCAGGUUCACAUUUCUAAUCUGGCUGGGAUAAACUGGAAUGAAAAUCAAGUCAGAGAAGGGACAUGAAUGUGGAGCUCCCAAACCGCAGGAUACUAACCACCAGCCUUUGGAGCAUACUGUACAAAAGGCAGUGAAUUUUAAACCAGAGAUAAAAGCAAGUAUUUCAAUAUUUUACCAAGGGAAUGCUGCAGGAUAUGUGGAAACUGAUUCUACCAACACACUUUUGUAAACAUGAUAAACACUCUUUAGUAUAUGGAUUUUUAUAGACAUAUUGUGUAUUUGUUAUAAUUGGACAGAAGGUCAGCAAGAUUGUGACAAAUCACAAUGCAAAAUCUAAAAUGGCUGGCUUAGCUCAGUGGGGGGGAAUAUUAGAAGGGACUGGCAGCAGUGGACCCUAAAUCCACCCCCAAAUCCAAGUAAGUGUGAAGGCACUAGUCAGAGAGGAAAGCAUAUUUGGGCAGAUAAAGAAUACAUGCAAAUGAAAGAAAAAAGGGUUUUGCUCCUUGCCUUGAAGCAGCCAGGGGCAACAGUUGACUCAACUCAUCUGCACACUCCGUCCCCAGUUCAAGGUUUCCCUGGGACCUCAUUUGGGCUACCCUGCCUACCAACUUGGUGGAAUCGGAAAGGAACAGGCUCCCUGUUGGCCUCGUGCUUGUGAGGUUUUUCAUUUUUCUUGCAGAAUUGGUGAGGUGCAGGCAUGUUAAAAAGAAACAGGAAUGAGAAAUCUGUUUGGAGAAUACAGGAACAUGUAAUUUGUUGCUAGUGUGGACAAAGGUUAAAAGGUCCAUUCCUAAAAGAAAGUCAUAUUCAGGAUUUCACAAUGGACCCGGUUCCCUUUAUUGGGCGAACAGGGUGAGAGGGAGACAUUUCAGAAGUGACCUGAACUGUAGGAGAAGGUGGAAGGAUCUACCCUGACAUACAGAUUAUAAAGUGGGAGUUCUGUAUUCUGACACUGUACCCACUUAAAUGCCUGGUACAUGAAAAGCAUUGGGAAUAACAUGCCCCUUUUUUCUGUGUCCAAGUCUCAGCCUACCGGUUAAAUUCAUCCCUGUUUCUUUCAUUUGCCCACAUGUCUGGAUCAAACUUUACUAGAAUAAUCACAUCUGUAUAGUGAAAGAAUGAAAUAAGAUAACUUGAAAGCCUCUUUCUAUAACUUUUCAAAAUCCUUUCAGAAAAACUUCUAGUCAGAGGGAAGGGAAAAUAGCUGAAUAACUGAAUUUAAACUGGUACUGGCUCCAUAGAUUCAUACAUGCCUGUCAUUUUAGGACUCUGCACAAAAGCUCAAGCAUGACAAAGUGCUCAUUUUGAUGACUAUCACAGCUGGUCACACCAGUUCACACAGGAACACAAAAAGGAUCAGCUUAAUCAGUAAACAAGGUGACCAAGGAGAACUUUUUAAAAUUGAUUAUUCCCAAUAUGUUGCCAUAACUUGAAAAUGGAAUGAAUGGUCUUAAUGGAGCAAAUCCUGCUUCACACCCCGGUUACAAACAGUCCCAGAGAUAAUGCAGAUGGAGGCAGGAUGUCAAAAUGUGAUGGUGGCUAUGACCCUGCUACUCGUGCUUCCACUACCCUCUGGGACAAGGGAGAAGAAUUUUCUCUUCUUCUUAGACUCUCACAGAGCUCCCUUUAUGGACCCUCGCUACUCAGGGUUGGCAUCUGGGCAUGGUGGUACAGCCCUUGGAGUAAAAUGCAAUUACCUUAAACAGGAAGUUAUGACAAAAUAAUUCACAGGCAAUUAGGCAGCUAUGACAAAACAAAAAUAGCAACACCAAAAUAUCCAAAGAGGUGACUGUAAAAAGCAAGAGGGUCUCUAAAAUGUUAUUAAAAACAAGCAAACAAAAAAAGUACUAAGAGAGAUAUCUAAAAAUAGUCUUAUGAAUACCUGCAACCAGUGGAAAAAUAUUUACCAUUCCGAGGCUAGUCAGUACAGCUGAAGCAACCCGCUAAUGACAUACUUUCUCAGAUUUGGAUGAACUAAACCCAUCUGUCCUAAAUAUUUCAUUUUUUUCCUAGAGAGAUACUACAGGAAUAAGGCUGUACAUUUUAACAUACAGAUAAUGAAACACAGGUAUGCUGAGAGAGCAAAUUACAAAAGCUCUCUUUUCAACUAAUUCUCCAAGUAGGAUCCUCAUGGAAAAGUCUUCAUUUUGCAUAUACAGUUUUCUGAAAUCACAGAUUUUGGGGCUAUUAAAAAGCAAUAGCAUGACACCCAUAACUUUCAAUUGUGCUAACUACAUUUGUCAAUUGUACAUACAUUCUGCUAAACCUUACAUCUUAUCCUUUUUAAUACUUAUACAGAUGACAGAUGGUACCCCCGGAAAUUAAUAUCCCAUGUAUUUCCAGGUCAUAUAUGACUUUUAAAUAAGAUUUAGAAGAUGACAGUAUGAGUGUUUUCUGCAGACAGAAUAAUUAUUAGGCUACCAAAUAUAAUUCCAGAACCUUGUAGCAACUGAUUUUUCUACUUUGACUGGUAAAGGAUUCUGGAACUCUCAAAUUGUGGGACUUGAAAGAUUAAAUUCCUGAAAGGUGAUUUUCAAUUUAAAGAGACUUAUACUAGAUAAUCAGAUUUGGCAUUCUUAUUUUAAUUUUCAACGGGUGCAGCUAAUGCUCCUGAGGCUAUAAGUAAGCUGCUUGAAUAUAAACAUUGUAAAGUCUGUAGUUUAAGAUAAGGUUUCUACUUUCUUGGGCAGAUCCAACCAAGAUUUGCAUUGAGUACUGUCUGCAUAUAUCUGUUUGUCAAUCAUAAAUUUUCUCAUUCAGGAAUCAAUCUGUCUCCUCACAAAAAAGCCUACUUUUAUGCGUUGAGAUCAAUGAGUCUCAACCAGGGUGCCACAGCAUGCUGGGAUGCCUUGAGAGUCUUUCAAGGGUGUUGCAGCAUUGUUAGGUUUGCCAACAUGAUUUGUAAGAUAAACCCAGAGGUUUCAAAUAGGAAUCCAUAGUGGUAAAAACAUUCUGACCUUUUCUGAUCUUUCUGAGUUCUUUGCGACAGAAAAGAAUGCUGUAUUAUUUUUCCCUAGUCAAAAAACAAGUGAAAACUAAGAGCUGGCAUUUUCCAAGGGGUGCAUCAAGUCUAAUGAGGGGUGUGUUGGAUCUAGAAAGGUUGAGAACCACUCAUCUAGAUGUUCUUUUGUACAUGAGAACAUGUUAAACCUAGUUUGAAAUACAAAAUCACCAGAAACUGGACAACCCCCCACCCCUCUCCCAUUAAUUUCACAUAGCUCUUAGUUGCCAAUUAGGUCUUUUUAAAAAUAGGACACACUGCAAAUCCAUUAUUUCCUGGAGGAGAUUGAGCAUGUGCAUGUGAAGUGGCAGCCUAUUUGAACAUCUGUUAUAGUACUGUCCCAAAAUAGGUAACAAAAUGGCUUUAUUUCUUUGCCUUUUAUGAUAGUUUAUCCUUCAAAUUAGAGCUUAAAAAUGGUAAUCCUCUUUUCAUAUUUAACUUCGCCUACACAAUUUGUUGCCAGAAGUGUAGAUUCCCAGAACAAGACACACUGUUUCUGUAACCUGAAAGUUGGCAUGCUGUAAAAUUUCUUCCUCUUAAUAUCUAUUAAGAAAGAAAUUAAUUCAAAGAGUUUUAAUUCAGCUAAAGGGCUGUUAUUGAUGUUAUUGAUUUUUCUGAAGUUUUGUCAAUCAAUUUUCCUCAGCCUUUUCUGGUCACUGAAUUACAGGAGCAGAACAAACUACCUCCUGCACGCUUUAUGAAAUAGCAUGUGUUAAGCAACAAGUUUAAAGCUUCGAACAGCAGCAAGCUAUUCAUACUGUAGGACACAAGGACUGUGCACAAGAACAGGAGUUCCCAGAAAAGACACGUGACAAGAUUUUAACUGCUUUGAAAUCAAGGCAACCUUACAUGUUUGUUCACAUUUAUUACGUCCUGGCUGAGUACAAAGGUAGCUUGGUUUCUGGUAUUUCAGGAGACAUUAAACUCUUAACAUUU